CAGUAGCCGCGGUAAUACGAAGGGGGCUAGCGUUGUUCGGAAUUACUGGGCGUAAAGCGCACGUAGGCGGAUAUUUAAGUCAGGGGUGAAAUCCCAGAGCUCAGCUCUGGAACUGCCUUUGAUGCUGGGUAUCUUGGGUAUGGAAGAGGUGAGUGGAAUUCCGAGUGUAGAGGUGAAAUUCGUAGAUAUUCGGAGGAACACCAGUGGCGAAGGCGGCUCACUGGUCCAUUACUGACGCUGAGGUGCGAAAGCGUGGGGAGCAAACAAGAUUAGAUACCCCGGUAGUCCCUGUCUCUUAUAC
rnacentral:rRNA from 1 species